rnacentral:RNase_P_RNA from 2 species
CAAGGAGGCUGGGUGGCCGCCGCGCGCGAGCGGGGAGGAAAGUCCGGACUCCACUGGGCAGGAUGCUGGGUAACUCCCAGGAGGGGCAACCCUACGGAAAGUGCCACAGAAACACACCGCCCCGGCUCGCUGGGGCAAGGGUGAAAUGGUGCGGUAAGAGCGCACCGCUCUGGUGGUGACAUCGGAGGCAGGGCAAACCCCAUCUGGAGCAAGACCGAAUAGGGGGACGUUACGGCGCCCGGCCAGUCCCCGGGUUGGUCGCUUGAGCCCGUCGGCAACGGCGGGCCUAGAGAGAUGGCCACCACUCGCCUUAGGCAAGUCCUGAGCUUGUCGAAGGGCGAGUACAGAAUCCGGCUUACAGGUCUCCUUGCCUU